AUAUUGGACAAUGGGGGCAACCCUGAUCCAGCCAUGCCGCGUGUGUGAAGAAGGCCUUUUGGUUGUAAAGCACUUUAAGCGAGGAGGAGGCUACUUAGAUUAAUACUCUGAGAUAGUGGACGUUACUCGCAGAAUAAGCACCGGCUAACUCUGUGCCAGCAGCCGCGGUAAUACAGAGGGUGCAAGCGUUAAUCGGAUUUACUGGGCGUAAAGCGUGCGUAGGUGGCCAAUUAAGUCAAAUGUGAAAUCCCCGAGCUUAACUUGGGAAUUGCAUUCGAUACUGGUUGGCUAGAGUAUGGGAGAGGAUGGUAGAAUUCCAGGUGUAGCGGUGAAAUGCGUAGAGAUCUGGAGGAAUACCGAUGGCGAAGGCAGCCAUCUGGCCUAAUACUGACACUGAGGUACGAAAGCAUGGGGAGCAAACAGG
rnacentral:rRNA from 1 species